GAGCUUGCUCCCUGGGUGGCGAGUGGCGGACGGGUGAGGAAUACGUCGGAAUCUGCCUUUUUGUGGGGGAUAACGUAGGGAAACUUACGCUAAUACCGCAUACGACCUUCGGGUGAAAGUGGGGGACCGCAAGGCCUCACGCAGAUAGAUGAGCCGACGUCGGAUUAGCUAGUUGGCGGGGUAAAGGCCCACCAAGGCGACGAUCCGUAGCUGGUCUGAGAGGAUGAUCAGCCACACUGGAACUGAGACACGGUCCAGACUCCUACGGGAGGCAGCAGUGGGGAAUAUUGGACAAUGGGCGCAAGCCUGAUCCAGCCAUGCCGCGUGGGUGAAGAAGGCCUUCGGGUUGUAAAGCCCUUUUGUUGGGAAAGAAAACUUUCCGAUUAAUACUCGGAGAGAAUGACGGUACCCAAAGAAUAAGCACCGGCUAACUUCGUGCCAGCAGCCGCGGUAAUACGAAGGGUGCAAGCGUUACUCGGAAUUACUGGGCGUAAAGCGUGCGUAGGUGGUUCGUUAAGUCUGAUGUGAAAGCCCUGGGCUCAACCUGGGAAUUGCAUUGGAUACUGGCGGGCUAGAGUACGG
rnacentral:rRNA from 1 species